rnacentral:rRNA from 1 species
AUGGGGAACAUCCUCAAUUUCACAACUGCUGUGACAGAUCAUUGCUGUCCAGGGCAACUAUGCCGAGGCGGCGGCAGCAGCAGCAGCAGAAUGGCAACCCAUCAGCUCGAAGCGUUGAGCAUUCUGGCUUUUAGAGCUUUAUUAUGCGAGCACAUACAACAGCAUGAAGCGUUCUGUCGAAAGCGGAUAGGCAGCAGUCAGUUUCAACUGCUGAGCAUUCUGCUUUGCGGAGCUGUCCAUGCCAAGGGAAUAGCGGCCGGCGAUCGGUUUAAACUGUGUGGCAUUCUGAUAGUAUGUGGAGUUAUAUCUGACCACAUCAUCUGUCACGACGCAAAGGAACCACAUGUUGACCACCCAAGAAGCAGCAGCAGCAGCAGGAUAGCAGGCCACCGGUUUGAACCGUUGAUCAUCCUGGCUUUCAGAGCUAUAUUGGAGCACAUAUGGCAGCAUAAAUCGUUUGUUCAAAAGCAGAUAGCCAAUGGCCGGUUCCAGCUCCUGAGCAUUCUGCUCUGCGGAGCAAUCCAUGCCAAGGGAAUCGUAGCAAGUGAUCAGUGUAAAAUGUGUGGCCUUCUGCUGUGCGGAGUUAUGUCUGACUACUUCUGUGAUGAUGCAAAGGACCCACCGACUGAUGUGCUUCGAGACCUUCCAGAGGGCUUACUUUGGACAAUUUUUUCAAUGUUGCCUCUAGAUGCGGCUGUUAGGACCAGUGCCUUGUCAAGGCAAUGGAGAUACUUGUGGACAGAUUGUCCUAAACUGAGUUUCGAUGGAAAUACAUUAUGCAACAAGAAAAAUCAUGGGAAACAAGUAUAUACUCCCCUGUUCAUUCACAUUGUUAAUAGGGUCUUGGAACAGUGCCGUGGCAAGUUUGUUGAAGAGCUCGCAAUCAAAAUUGAGCUGAACUGCAUGUUGGUGGAAUAUCUUGAUAAUUGGGUCCGUUUCGCAGUAUCAUCUGGGACAAAGGCACUAGUUUUUGAUUUAGCACCAGAAGAGCGUCAACUUGUAGGCCGUGAUGAUCGCUACAGAUUCCCAUUUGAGCUUUUAGACAAGGAAAGUAUAUGCCGUCUGCAGAAAAUACAUCUUAGUUUUGUAGAUUUCCAGCCACCAAUGCAGUUCAGAGGUUUCCCUAACCUACAGAAGCUUGACCUUAACUUAGUGAAUGUCAGUGGGAAGGAAAUUCUACAUAUGCUGUCAAACUGCUGUAACCUAGAGUGGCUGAGUAUUGUUAGAUGCCAUCUCAAUUGUGACCUAGAGGUUAACUGUCCACUGCCUCAUCUGCUAUACUUGAAAAUUGUGUCCUGCAUUAUAACAAGUAUAGCGUUUGAUGCAGUGAACCUUGCGACUUUUAAAUACAAAGGAAGGGCUGUGCCUAUUGACCUGAGCAAAUCAUCAGAACUGGUAUGUGCAGAUAUAUGGUUUGGUAGAGUCACUUUUGGGCACGCUAUUGCUGUACUUGCUAAAGUGCUCACAAGCGUGCAACAUCUGACCCUUGAUACGGCCUGUAAACCACAAAAGAUUCCCCGUUUGAUGCAUCACCGAUGCGAGUUUUCUCAGAUGAAAUAUUUACAGUUGAGGUUGGUCUAUAUUGAAGAAUUCGAUACCUUAUCUCUGAUCUCUUUUAUGAGGUCUGCUCCUUUCAUUGAGAAGUUAGAGCUGCACUUUUGUUUCCCUGGUUACGUGCGUUUGGCACAAGAACUUGAACCUAUCAGGAAGCUACCGGAGCAUCUGUUCAACAAUUUGAAGAGUUUACAUGUUACAGGAUUUAAAGCAUGCAUUGGCCAAGUUGAGUUACUUUCGCACAUGGUGGAAAAUGCCCCCGCAUUGGAGGUUUUAAGUAUAGAUAAUUCAGACAAAUAUCCCCUAGAAGGGCAUGAAAAGAACGCAAAAACUGUCGUUGAUUUGGUCCAUAGAAUUGUUAGAAGGUAUCUUGAAGGAAAGAUUUCGCCCAAGUGCACCUUAAUAUUACUUUAG